AUUCCAUGAGUUGGGCACUGUUGCAAAAGUUCUUUAAAUCUCAGCCACAACUCAUGUAUUGACUCUCCCUACAAUUGCCUGAAACUUAAGAUGUUAUUCCUAAGAAU
rnacentral:snoRNA from 1 species